GCCCCUGUAGCUCAGAGGAUAGAGCAGCGGUUUCCUAAACCGCGGGUCGGGCGUUCGAGUCGCCCCAGGGGUACCA
rnacentral:tRNA from 1 species